rnacentral:rRNA from 1 species
UACGUAGGGGGCAAGCGUUGUCCGGAAUCAUUGGGCGUAAAGAGCGUGUAGGCGGCCAGAAAAGUCCGCUGUGAAAACUCGAGGCUCAACUUCGAGCUGUCGGUGGAAACUUUCUGGCUAGAGUCCGGAAGAGGAGAAUGGAAUUCCUGGUGUAGCGGUGGAAUGCGCAGAUAUCAGGAAGAACACCGACGGCGAAGGCAGCUCGCUGGGACGGUACUGACGCUGAGACGCGAAGGCGUGGGGAGCGAACAGG